GCCCGCUUGGUGGAAUCGGUAGACACGAGGGACUUAAAAUCCCUUUCGCGUAAGCGAGUGCGAGUUCAAGUCUCGCAGCGGGCACCA
rnacentral:tRNA from 1 species